rnacentral:rRNA from 1 species
CGCGCAGGCGGUCGUACAAGUCGAAUGUGAAAGCCCCCGGCUCAACUGGGGAGGGUCAUUCGAUACUGUUCGACUCGAAGGCAGGAGAGGGAAGCGGAAUUCCCGGUGUAGUGGUGAAAUGCGUAGAUAUCGGGAGGAACACCAGUGGCGAAGGCGGCUUCCUGGCCUGUUCUUGACGCUGAGGCGCGAAAGCUAGGGGAGCAAACGGGAUUAGAUACCCCGGUAGUCCUAGCCGUAAACGAUGGACACUAGGUGUUGGCGGUAUCAACCCCGCCAGUGCCGAAGCUAACGCAUUAAGUGUCCCGCCUGGGGAGUACGGCCGCAAGGCUAAA